rnacentral:rRNA from 1 species
AACGAACGCUGGCGGCGUGGAUAAGACAUGCAAGUCGAGCGCUGAUUACAGGGUAGCAAUAUUCUGUAGUCGGAGCGGCGCAAGGGUGCGUAACACGUGGGUAAUCUGCCGUGAAGUUUG